rnacentral:hammerhead_ribozyme from 1 species
AUUCAGCUGACGAGUCCCAUAUAGGACGAAACGAGCGUCAAACUGGAU